AGUACGGCGGAACACGUGAAAUUCCGUCGGAAUCCGGGAGGACCAUCUCCCAAGGCUAAAUACUCCCUAGUGACCGAUAGUGAACCAGUACCGUGAGGGAAAGGUGAAAAGCACCCCGGAAGGGGAGUGAAACAGUUCCUGAAACCGUGUGCCUACAAGUAGUUAGAGCCCGUUAAUGGGUGAUAGCGUGCCUUUUGUAGAAUGAACCGGCGAGUUACGAUUUGUUGCAAGGUUAAGCGGAAAAAGCGGAGCCGUAGCGAAAGCGAGUCUGAAUAGGGCGCAUAAGUAACAGGUCGUAGACCCGAAACCAGGUGAUCUACCCAUGUCCAGGAUGAAGGUAAGGUAAUACUUACUGGAGGUCCGAACCCACGCACGUUGAAAAGUGCGGGGAUGAGGUGUGGGUAGCGGAGAAAUUCCAAUCGAACUUGGAGAUAGCUGGUUCUCUCCGAAAUAGCUUUAGGGCUAGCCUCGAGGUAAAGAGUCAUGGAGGUAGAGCACUGUUUGGACUAGGGGCCCUUCUCGGGUUACCGAAUUCAGAUAAACUCCGAAUGCCAUGUACUUAUACUCGGGAGUCAGACUGCGAGUGAUAAGAUCCGUAGUCGAAAGGGAAACAGCCCAGACCACCAGUUAAGGUCCCCAAAUAUAUGUUAAGUGGAAAAGGAUGUGGGGUUGCUUAGACAACCAGGAUGUUGGCUUAGAAGCAGCCACCAUUGAAAGAGUGCGUAAUAGCUCACUGGUCGAGUGACCCCGCGCCGAAAAUGUACCGGGGCUAAACAUAUUACCGAAACUGUGGAUGAACCUCUUUAGAGGUUCGUGGUAGGAGAGCGUUCUAAGGGCGGUGAAGUCAGACCGGAAGGACUGGUGGAGCGCUUAGAAGUGAGAAUGCCGGUAUGAGUAGCGAAAGAAGGGUGAGAAUCCCUUCCACCGAAUAUCUAAGGUUUCCUGAGGAAGGCUCGUCCGCUCAGGGUUAGUCGGGACCUAAGCCGAGGCCGAUAGGCGUAGGCGAUGGACAACAGGUAGAGAUUCCUGUACCAGUGCUAAUUGUUUAACCGAUGGGGUGACACAGAAGGAUAGGGAAUCGCACGAAUGGAAAUGUGCGUCCAAGCAGUGAGUGUGAGAAGUAGGCAAAUCCGCUUCUCGCGAAGCAUGAGCUGUGAUGGGGAAGGAAAUUAAGUACGGAAGUUCCUGAUUUCACGCUGUCAAGAAAAGCCUCUAGGAAGAGUAGUACUGCCCGUACCGCAAACCGACACAGGUAGAUGAGGAGAGAAUCCUAAGGUGAGCGAGAGAACUCUCGUUAAGGAACUCGGCAAAAUGACCCCGUAACUUCGGGAGAAGGGGUGCUCUAUUAGGGUGCAAGCCCGAGAGAGCCGCAGUGAAUAGGCCCAGGCGACUGUUUAGCAAAAACACAGGUCUCUGCAAAACCGUAAGGUGACGUAUAGGGGCUGACGCCUGCCCGGUGCUGGAAGGUUAAGAGGAGUGCUUAGCUUCGGCGAAGGUACGAAUUGAAGCCCCAGUAAACGGCGGCCGUAACUAUAACGGUCCUAAGGUAGCGAAAUUCCUUGUCGGGUAAGUUCCGACCCGCACGAAAGGCGCAACGAUCUGGGCACUGUCUCAACGAGAGACUCGGUGAAAUUAUAGUACCUGUGAAGAUGCAGGUUACCCGCGACAGGACGGAAAGACCCCGUGGAGCUUUACUGCAACCUGAUAUGGAAUGUUUGUACCGCUUGUACAGGAUAGGUAGGAGCCGAAGAGACGUGUGCGCUAGCAUACGAGGAGGCAAUGGUGGGAUACUACCCUGGCUGUAUGACCAUUCUAACCCGCCACGCUUAGCGCGUGGGGAGACAG
rnacentral:rRNA from 1 species